rnacentral:rRNA from 1 species
AUACGGAGGGAGCGAGCGUUAAUCGGAAUUACUGGGCGUAAAGCGCGCGUAGGCGGCUUUGUAAGUCGGAUGUGAAAGCCCCGGGCUCAACCCGGGAAUUGCAUUCGAUACUGCAGAACUAGAGUAUGGUAGAGGGAAGUGGAAUUUCCGGUGUAGCGGUGAAAUGCGUAGAUAUCGGAAGGAACACCAGUGGCGAAGGCGACUUCCUGGGCCAAUACUGACGCUGAGGUGCGAAAGCGUGGGGAGCAAACAGGAUUAGAAACCCCGGUAGUCC